GCACAAAACCAUACAGGUCCCACAACAUCAUACAGGCCCCAAAACCCCAUACAGGCUGCAUAGACCCCAUAAGGGCCCCACAACCACAUAUUGGCCCAACAAACCCAUAUGGAACCCAUAGACCCCAUACAGGACCCAAAACCCCAUACAGGCCCCAUAGCCCCAUAAAGGCUCCACAACCCUAUAUGGGCCCCAGUGACCACAUAAAGGCCCGAAAAACCCAUAUGGGCCUUUUUGACCCCAUAUAGGCUCCACAACUCCACAUAGACCUCAUACCAGCCCCAAAACCCCAUAUGGGCCCCAUAGGCAUCAUAUAGGCCCCAUAGAUCCCAUAUGGGCCCUAAAGACACCAUACAGGCCCCACAACACCAUACAGGCUCCAUAGACCCCAUACAGUCCACACAACACCAUGCAGGCCCCAUCAACCCCAUACAGGCCCAAAACGAAUAUGGGCCCCAUAGACCCCAUACAGGCCUCACAACCCCAUAUAGGACCCACAACCCCAUAUGGGCCCCAUAGACCCCAUACAGGCUCCACAACAACAUAUGGGCCCCAAAACCACAUAUGAGCCCCAUAGACCCCAUAAAGGCCACACAACCCCACAUAGGCCCCACAGAAUCCCAUACAGGCCCCAAAACCCAUAUAGGCCCAACAACCCCAUAUGGGCCCCAUAGACCCCAUACAGGCGCCAAAACCACAUAUAGGCCCCACAAACACAUACAGGCCCCACAACCCCAUAAAGGCCUCGCAACCUUAUACAGGCCCCACAACCACAUAUGAGAGCCACAACACCAUAUAGGCCCCACAACCCCAUAUGGGCCCCAUAGACCCCAUACUAGUCCCCACAAUCCUAUAUGGGCACCAUAGACCCGAUAUAGGCCCCACAAACCCAUACACGCCCCAUAGAUCAAAUAUGGGCUCCAAAGACCCCAUACAAGCCCCACAACCUCAUACAGGCUUCAUAGACCCCAUACAGUCCACAAAAUCCCAUGCAGGCCCCAUAGACCCCAUAGAGGCCCCACAAAGCAUAGGGGCCCCAUAGACACCAUACAGGCCUCACAACCCCAUAUAAAGCCCCACAACCCCAUAUGGCCCCAUAGGCCCCGCAUACCAGUACCCACAGAUCCCAAUGGGAGGGGGUGGCCCCAGUAGAAUCCAUACAAGACCCACAAUCCCACAUAGGCCCCAUAGACCCCAUAUAGGCCCCACAUCCCCAUGGAGGCCCCACAACUCCAUAUAGUCCCCAUAGACCCCAUACAGGCCCCAGAACCCCAUAUGGGCCCUCCUCCUCCUCCGUUACAAGUAGAUGAAGCAGCGCAUUGACUCAUGUUAGACCCACAGCUUUUGGAUGUGCUCUGUGCCCUGCUGCAGUUACUGCCACCACGGAGGACUAAAGGAACAACCACAGGCUGCUUUUAAAGCACAUUAGCUUCAUUUUAAUUACAUUCACCCUCUCCCAGAACAUUCUUAGAGUGCAGCUGGUUUUGAUUAAUACACCCUGAACUGCUGGAAGAAGAAACAGGAAAGCAGGACUCAACAAGCCAUCACUCACUGGCAUGCUGCACUCAGUCUACGGGUCUUACAUUUACUUAAA
ensembl:lncRNA